rnacentral:rRNA from 1 species
GACGAACGCUGGCGGCGUGCCUAAUACAUGCAAGUAGAACGCACAGUUUAUACCGUAGCUUGCUACACCAUAGACUGUGAGUUGCGAACGGGUGAGUAACGCGUAGGUAACCUGCCUGGUAGCGGGGGAUAACUAUUGGAAACGAUAGCUAAUACCGCAUAAUAUUAAUUAUUGCAUGAUAAUUAAUUGAAAGGUGCAAUUGCACCACUACCAGAUGGACCUGCGUUGUAUUAGCUAGUAGGUGAGGUAACGGCUCACCUAGGCGACGAUACAUAGCCGACCUGAGAGGGUGAUCGGCCACACUGGGACUGAGACACGGCCCAGACUCCUACGGGAGGCAGCAGUAGGGAAUCUUCGGCAAUGGACGAAAGUCUGACCGAGCAACGCCGCGUGAGUGAAGAAGGUUUUCGGAUCGUAAAGCUCUGUUGUAAGAGAAGAACGGGUGUGAGAGUGGAAAGUUCACACUGUGACGGUAGCUUACCAGAAAGGGACGGCUAACUACGCG